rnacentral:lncRNA from 1 species
GUACUCAAGUGUGUUGUGGAACAAAAUUAACGCCUCUAUAAAAAGAAGAAAUCAAAGAGGCGCUCCUCAGAAAUUGAAGAGGCGUCCUUUCGCAAAUCGAAGAGUCGGGGCACCUUUCUCAAAAGCCGGAUUCUUUUUGCAAGAAGGGAUUGUUUACAGGAGGGUACUCAAGUGUGUUGUGGAACAAAAUUAACGCCUCUAUAAAAAGAAGAAAUCAAAGAGGCGCUCCUCAGAAAUUGAAGAGGCGUCCUUUCGCAAAUCGAAGAGUCGGGGCACCUUUCUCAAAAGCCGGAUUCUUUUCUCAAAAGAGGAGUUUCCGUUCUCAAAAGUCGGAUUCUUUUCUCAAAAGAGGCGUUCAUUUCUUAAAAGUUGGGCUUGCUCAGAAACCACGAGCCGAACCCCGGAUUUCGCAAGAUCAAUUCGUCCAGACGUGUUGUCACCCGUCACACGCAAACUCAGCUCUGCGAAAAUCACGGGCAGUCUGUCGAAGUGCCGAUUCCAACCAUCUGUCUCUCUC